GACGAACGCUGGCGGCGUGCUUAACACAUGCAAGUCGAACGGAAAGGCCCUGCUUUUGUGGGGUGCUCGAGUGGCGAACGGGUGAGUAACACGUGAGUAACCUGCCCUUGACUUUGGGAUAACUUCAGGAAACUGGGGCUAAUACCGGAUAGGAGCUCCUGCUGCAUGGUGGGGGUUGGAAAGUUUCGGCGGUUGGGGAUGGACUCGCGGCUUAUCAGCUUGUUGGUGGGGUAGUGGCUUACCAAGGCUUUGAAGGGUAGCCGGCCUGAGAGGGUGACCGGCCACAUUGGGACUGAGAUACGGCCCAGACGCCUACGGGAGGCAGCAGUGGGGAAUAUUGCACAAUGGGCGGAAGCCUGAUGCAGCAACGCCGCGUGCGGGAUGACGGCCUUCGGGUUGUAAACCGCUUUCGCCUGUGACGAAGCGUGAGUGACGGUAAUGGGUAAAGAAGCACCGGCUAACUACGUG
rnacentral:rRNA from 1 species